rnacentral:ncRNA from 1 species
AAAAAAUUACUCCGAGCUUUCAAACCUACGUUCCAAAAUUGUGGAAUAGGGCUGCCGGCCGAUAGGGUAAAUCUGGAAACGGGUUUGCCUCCCGUACUUGGAAAGGAGUUUUAUUGGAAAUA